UACGAACCGUACAAACGUUAUUCGGAAUCACUGGGCUUAAAGGGUGCGUAGGCGGCCAUGUAAGUGAGGUGUGAAAUCCCUCGGCUCAACCGAGGAACUGCGCUUCAUACUGCAUGGCUUGAGGGAGACAGGGGUAAGCGGAACUGAUGGUGGAGCGGUGAAAUGCGUUGAUAUCAUCAGGAACACCGGUGGCGAAAGCGGCUUACUGGGUCUCUUCUGACGCUGAGGAACGAAAGCUAGGGUAGCGAACGGG
rnacentral:rRNA from 1 species